AUACGGAGGAUGCGAGCGUUAUCCGGAUUUAUUGGGUUUAAAGGGAGCGUAGGUGGGAUAUUAAGUCAGCUGUGAAAGUUUGGGGCUCAACCUUAAAAUUGCAGUUGAUACUGGUUUCCUUGAGUACGGUACAGGUGGGCGGAAUUCGUGGUGUAGCGGUGAAAUGCUUAGAUAUCACGAAGAACUCCGAUCGCGAAGGCAGCUCACCGGGCCGGAACUGACACUGAUGCUCGAAAGUGCGGGUAUCAAACAGGAUUAGAUACCCUGGUAGUCCGCACAGUAAACGAUGAAUACUCGCUGUUUGCGAUACACAGUAAGCGGCCAAGCGAAAGCGUUAAGUAUUCCACCUGGGGAGUACGCCGGCAACGGUGAAACUCAAAGGAAUUGACGGGG
rnacentral:rRNA from 1 species